UACGGAGGUGGCAAGCGUUGUUCGGAAUUACUGGGCGUAAAGGGCUCGUAGGCGGCCAACUAAGUCAGACGUGAAAUCCCUCGGCUUAACCGGGGAACUGCGUCUGAUACUGGAUGGCUUGAGUUUGGGAGAGGGAUGCGGAAUUCCAGGUGUAGCGGUGAAAUGCGUAGAUAUCUGGAGGAACACCGGUGGCGAAGGCGGCAUCCUGGACCAACACUGACGCUGAGGAGCGAAAGCCAGGGGAGCAAACGGG
rnacentral:rRNA from 1 species